rnacentral:rRNA from 1 species
AUUGAACGCUGGCGGCAGGCCUAACACGUGCAAGUCGAACGGUAACAGAAAGCAGCUUGCUGCUUUGCUGACGAGUGGCGGACGGGUGAGUAAUGUCUGGGAAACUGCCUGAUGGAGGGGGAUAACUACUGGAAACGGUAGCUAAUACCGCAUAACGUCGCAAGACCAAAGAGGGGGACCUUCGGGCCUCUUGCCAUCGGAUGUGCCCAGAUGGGAUUAGCUAGUAGGUGGGGUAACGGCUCACCUAGGCGACGAUCCCUAGCUGGUCUGAGAGGAUGACCAGCCACACUGGAACUGAGACACGGUCCAGACUCCUACGGGAGGCAGCAGUGGGGAAUAUUGCACAAUGGGCGCAAGCCUGAUGCAGCCAUGCCGCGUGUAUGAAGAAGGCCUUCGGGUUGUAAAGUACUUUCAGCGGGGAGGAAGGGAGUAAAGUUAAUACCUUGGCUCAUUGACGUUACCCGCAGAAGAAGCACCGGCUAACUCCGUG